rnacentral:rRNA from 1 species
CGUAACACGUGAGCAACCUUCCGAGAUAUGGGGGAUAGCCGGCCUAACGGCCGAGUAAUACCGCAUACGCUCUCGAUGAGGCAUUUCAUUGAGAGGAAACCUCCGGGGUAUUUCGAGGGGCUCGCGGCCUAUCAGCUAGUUGGCGAGGUAACGGCUCACCAAGGCAACGACGGGUAGCUGGUCUGAGAGGAUGGCCAGCCACAUUGGGACUGAGAAACGGCCCAG